rnacentral:rRNA from 13 species
AAACAACUCUCAGCAACGGAUAUCUUGGCUCUUGCAACGAUGAAGAACGCAGCGAAAUGCGAUACGUAGUGUGAAUUGCAGAAUUCCGCGAAUCAUCGAGUCUUUGAACGCAAGUUGCGCCCGAGGCUUGUCCGAGGGCAUUUCCGCUAGAGCGUCACCG